GGGGCGGAUAUUGCCCAUCCGGUGAUCCCGGCUGCCGAGAAAAGCUUCGGCGUCAGGCUCAAAGCCGCCCGUACCCCAAACCGACACUGGUGGUCAGGUAGAGAAUACCAAAGCGAUCGAGCGAAUCCUGGUCAAGGAACUCGGCAAAUCACUCCCGUUCCUUCGGUUUAAGGGAGACCCCCGAUGGUGAACACACUUGCUGUGGGAGCUUUUGGGGGUGGCACAGACCAGGGGGUAGCGACUGUUUACCAAAAACACAGGUGCAUGCGAAGGCGCAAGCCGCUGUAUAUGCACUGACGCCUGCCCGGUGCCGGAAGGUUAAGAGGAUCCGUCAGCCUUCGGGUGAAGCGGUGAAUUCAAGCCCCGGUAAACGGCGGUGGUAACUAUAACCAUCCUAAGGUAGCGAAAUUCCUUGUCGGGUAAGUUCCGACCUGCACGAAUGGCGUAACGACUUCCCCACUGUCUCGACCAGGAGCUCGGCGAAAUUGCAGUACGAGUAAAGAUGCUCGUUAAGCGCAGAAGGACGAAAAGACCCCGGGACCUUUACUAUACCUUGGUAUUGGCAUUCGGUGUGGAUUGUGUAGCAUAGGCGGGAGGCCGAGAGGCGCGGUCGCCAGAUCGCGCGGAGCCGUAAGGUGAAAUACCGCUCUGUUCGCAUUGGAUGUCUAACCUCGAACAGUCAUCCUGUUCAGGGACAGUGCCUGGCGGGUAGUUUAACUGGGGCGGUUGCCUCCCAAAGAGUAACGGAGGCGCCCAAAGGUCCGCUCAGCCCGGUUGGCAAUCGGGUGGCGAGUGCAAGUGCACAAGCGGGCUUGACUGCGAGGACGACGGUCCGAGCAGGGACGAAAGUCGGGACUAGUGAUCCGGUGCCGGUGUACGGACGCGGCAUCGCUCAACGGAUAAAAGGUACCCCGGGGAUAACAGGCUGAUCAUUCCCAAGAGUCCAUAUCGACGGGAUGGUUUGGCACCUCGAUGUCGGCUCGUCGCAUCCUGGGGCUGGAGCAGGUCCCAAGGGUUCGGCUGUUCGCCGAUUAAAGCGGCACGCGAGCUGGGUUCAGAACGUCGUGAGACAGUUUGGUCUCUAUCCUCUGCGCUCGUUGGAAUGCUGAGGAGGCCUGCCCAUAGUACGAGAGGACCUGGGUGGACGAGCCUCUGGUAUGCCGGUUGUCACGCCAGUGGCACGGCCGGUUGGCUACGUUCGGAAGGGAUAACCGCUGAAAGCAUCUAAGCGGGAAGCCUGCUCCAAGAUAAGCAUUCCGUGGAACCUUCGAGUUCCUGUAGUCCCCAUGCAGAACACGUGGUUGAUAGGCCGGACGUGGAAGCCCCGCGAGGGGUGGAGCCGACCGGUACUAACGGACG
rnacentral:rRNA from 1 species